GACGAACGCUGGCGGCGUGCUUAACACAUGCAAGUCGAACGAUGAACCCGGAGCUUGCUCCGGCGGAUUAGUGGCGAACGGGUGAGUAACACGUGAGUAACCUGCCCUUGACUCUGGGAUAACUGCUAGAAAUGGUAGCUAAUACCGGAUACGACCCUCGGAGGCAUCUCCUGGGGGUGGAAAGAAUUUCGGUCAAGGAUGGACUCGCGGCCUAUCAGCUAGUUGGUGAGGUAAAGGCUCACCAAGGCGACGACGGGUAGCCGGCCUGAGAGGGUAACCGGCCACACUGGGACUGAGACACGGCCCAGACUCCUACGGGAGGCAGCAGUUGGGAAUAUUGCCCAAUGGGCGCAAGCCUGAUGCAGCAACGCCGCGUGAGGGAUGACGGCCUUCGGGUUGUAAACCUCUUUUAGCAGGGAAGAAGCGAAAGUGACGGUACCUGCAGAAAAAGCACCGGCUAACUACGUGCCAGCCGCCGCCGUAA
rnacentral:rRNA from 1 species